rnacentral:rRNA from 1 species
GGCCAUACCACCCUGAACGCGCCCGAUCUCGUCUGAUCUCGGAAGCUAAGCAGGGUCGGGUCUGGUUAGUACUUGGAUGGGAGAAAGAUGGCUCAGCCAGUAAAGGUACCUCUGGCCAAGCCUGACCACC